AUUGAACGCUGGCGGCAGGCUUAACACAUGCAAGUCGAGCGGAGAUGAGGUGCUUGCACCUUAUCUUAGCGGCGGACGGGUGAGUAAUGCUUAGGAAUCUGCCUAUUAGUGGGGGACAACAUUCCGAAAGGAAUGCUAAUACCGCAUACGCCCUACGGGGGAAAGCAGGGGAUCUUCGGACCUUGCGCUAAUAGAUGAGCCUAAGUCGGAUUAGCUAGUUGGUGGGGUAAAGGCCUACCAAGGCGACGAUCUGUAGCGGGUCUGAGAGGAUGGUCCGCCACACUGGGACUGAGACACGGCCCAGACUCCUACGGGAGGCAGCAGUGGGGAAUAUUGGACAAUGGGCGAAAGCCUGAUCCAGCCAUGCCGCGUGUGUGAAGAAGGCCUUUUGGUUGUAAAGCACUUUAAGCGAGGAGGAGGCUACCGAGAUUAAUACUCUUGGAUAGUGGACGUUACUCGCAGAAUAAGCACCGGCUAACUCUGUGCCAGCCGCCGCGGUAACAC
rnacentral:rRNA from 1 species